rnacentral:rRNA from 1 species
UACGUAGGGGGCAAGCGUUGUCCGGAAUCAUUGGGCGUAAAGAGCGUGUAGGCGGCUCGAUAAGUCUGCUGUGAAAGUCCAGGGCUCAACCCUGGAAGGCCGGUGGAAACUGUCGGGCUAGAGUCCGGAAGAGGCGAGUGGAAUUCCCGGUGUAGCGGUGAAAUGCGUAGAUAUCGGGAGGAACAUCAGUGGCGAAGGCGGCUGCCUGGCCCAAUACUGACACUCAGGUGCGACAGCGUGGGGAGCAAACAGG